AACGGAGGGUGAAUUGAAAGGACUGUGACAAGGUUGUACUAACUGUCUCCUCGUUGUUGCAGGCUCCACAGCCCCAGAGCAGCCUCCAGCGUGGCAUUCCCACAUCUGCCCGCUCCAUGCUUUCAAACUUUGCACAGGCUCCCCAGUUGUCUGUGCCAGGUGGCCUCCUUGGUAUGCCAGGUAAGAGGGGCUGCUCUGAGAACAUUCCUAGGGCGCACAAUUCUAGUAGCCCUGUUAGGUGAAUUGUUCCUUCCUUUGCCUUUUUUCCUUAGGGUAUACCUCCUCACUGUUUUGUUAUUUAGCAGAUGUUUGCUAAAUUUGUAUUAUGUUCCAGCCAUGGUACACUACAGUUUUGGUGUUGAAAUCGACAGUCCCUAACAUUAUAAAUUUUAAUAUCUAAUGUGCCUUCAGUGAGCAAGUGGUUAUCGAUCUCUCUUAGCUAGGACAGUUGGGCCAACUGACCUGUUUAACUGAUCCAGUGUUGCUUCUUCACAAUCAUUGGCCCCCAAAUCAGAGCAGAUUCAGUGAUUCCAUUUCUUUAUCAUUUUUCUUUUUUUUUUUUUUUUUUUUAAAGAGAGAGUGAGAGACAGAGAGAGAGAGAGAAUUUUUUUUAUUUUUAAUAUUUAUUUUUUAGUUUUCGGCGGACACAACAUCUUUGUUUGUAUGUGGUGCUGAGGAUCGAACCCGGGCCGCACGCAUGCCAUGCGAGCGCGCUACCGCUUGAGCCACAUCCCCAGCCCCUAUCAUUUUUCUCUCACCGCUGUUUUAUCGAUCUGUCCUCUGUCAUCAGGAAUGUGUUCAUUAUUCCUAGUAGAAUUAAAAUUUCAGGAAGAUCUCUUUCCCUAAAGCUGGAAUAAGAGGGUAGUUGCUAUUGAAAUAAAGCUAGGGGAUGGGGCUCUAGCUCAGUGGUAGAGCACUUGCCUAGCAUGUGUGAGGCACUGGAUUCAAUCCUCAGCACUGCAUAUAAAUAAAUAAAUAAAGGUAUUGUGUUCAUCUACAACUAAAAAAAAUAUUCAAAAAGAAAGAAAAGAAAUAAAGCUAGCCAAGCAUAGAUAGAUGUAGUUAAACUCUGGUGUUCCCUCCCCAUCUCCAAAUCUGCAGCCCCAAAGUAUAGUACUGAAGGCAGUGUCAUUUCCUCUUUUAAUACCUUUCCAUUUUUCUCUCCUGGGUCUAGGUGUCAACAUUGCAUAUUUGAACACUGGCAUUGGAGGACACAAAGCCCCCAGUUUGGCAGACCGACAGCGUGAAUACCUUUUAGACAUGAUCCCUCCCCGGUCUAUAUCGCAGUCCAUCAGUGGACAGAAAUAACGCCUGUUCCACUUGUACUCCCCCAACCUUGAAUCCUUUACCCUUUCCUCUCCCGUUACCCCCAACUUCCGUCGCAUGCAGUGCCUGUACUGGUGCCUACCAUACACGGAAAGCAAAACUGAAAAACAGAAGACAAAAAAUAGAAAUCAACAAGAAAACACACGCCCUGCCCUGCCACCUCCCCUUUAUUCACUGCUGCGAUCUGUUCUCCUGCCGCUCUAUCUUCUCUUUGAUUUUCUUUUAACAGUGAGGUGGAUCUUUGCCUCUGAUAGAGGUCAGAAGGAGGUCCUGGGGAGAAUUUAAGCCCUCUGACGUGUGUUUCUAAAGUUUGUUUUAUGCUACAAUUAUUAUCAUUUUUAAUUAUACUGUGUGUCCUCCCUUUGUUCAGUGGACGGUUAAACCUUUCCCCCCCCCCAGUCUUUUUCUUUUUCCUUCCUCCCUUUCUUCCUUCCUCCCUCCCUCUCUCUUUUUUUUUUUUUUUUAAUAAACACAAUGACAUUCAGUUCAAUGAUAGGAGCAUUGCAGAUUGCAGUAGGAUCCUCAGCUGCCAAGUAGGACGUGACUGGGAGUAUUAGGGGCAAAGAUUUUGAAUGCACUUAACCUGAGUUGUGGGGUGAGUGGCAUCAAGCAAGGAGGAUUAACACCCUAGCUGUGGGUGUUUUGGGGAUGGGCAAUUUAGGAGACAGUGUUUUAGUAUUGAUGUUUGGCUCUAAGAAAGAAAGGAAAGAACCUGCAAGGAGAAGCUUUAAAACAACUGCCCUGGAAUUUACUUAGGAAAGGAGAAGAAAGAAGUAUGAUAGUUAGCAUAAUGAUAAGCCAAGGAGGACUGAGACCAGGUCCUGGCCUCUGGAUGCUGGAGGAAUACAGUUGGUCUCCUGACCCCAGGGGUAUGGAAGUCUGUUCCAAGCCAACUAGCCCAAAAUAGCUUCAUCUAAUUUCCUUUGUAAAAUUGUCCCUCCACCCCACUCUCACUCCCUUUUUAAAAAUCCUAAUCUUCCCCCCGCUAACUACAGCCCCUGGUUGUUCCCAGGCUGUUUUUUUGCUGGUGUCCUAGAAGUUAUAUGAGUAUGAAUGAGUCAAGUGACAAAAGUUGAAAAUAGAGGAAGAGAUUUCUCUCCUAGCAGUUGAAAGUCAUACAUUUGUCUGUCCUUCACCCUCUAAGUGCAGGGAGGUAAGAGAAAGGGCCCUAAUCAGCCUGGAGUCCUGCCCUGACUGUGCUGCACAGACUGCAGAACCAGCUGCUUGAUGCCAAACAGCUCACUGUCAAGACCAACUCUGGACCUCUGCUCUACAAGUGUUGUCUUUCUCCCGCCCCCGCCCCCCAUUCUAUUAAUUUUGCUCUUUUGUUUUUGUUUUUUUCUUAAGUGCUACUAAUGUAGAGAAUGAAUUGAAUUGUGCAAUGUUGCUGUUCUGGGGAUUAGGGAGAUUAGCAUCCCAUUUGCCCACACUGUGGGGGAAGGGGGUACGGACCAGGCUGUUUUUUGAGGUAAGGGAAGGCCCUUAAAAGGAAGGGUUUCUGCCCUCCUCGGUAGUUGACACCCACCUGCCUCUCCAGCUCCAGAAGCUGCCAGAGUGCGCUGGGGACGCUGUUAGCAGAGUGGUGUGAGGAGUUAAUAUUUUGCCCUUGAAAGCCACCUGAGGAAGUUCCCUCGUUUUUAUUUUUUAAAAUUAAAUAAUUUUUUUAAAGUAAAAAGGCACUUUUAAAAUUAACACAUACACACAAACUGCACAUCUUCCCCAUAAAAUUUGGGGGUAGGGUGGGAAAAGGAGCUGAAAUCAGGCUUAGUCCCCCACUCUGGCCUCUACUCCCCACACCCCAGUGCCACUGAGGGUGAUUAUACUGGCCCUACGGGCCAUCCUGGCUUUUUUUCUUUCCUACCUUCCCCCAAAUUUCAUUGAGCACUUAAUAAAGGAGCAGAGAUACAGCCAGUGUCUGGGCUCCCCAAGUGGUGAAAUGAUCUGAAAGCUAGACGCUAGUACCAGGUAGUGUCAGGUCGUUUCGAGUAUUUUUCUGGGGAAUGUCAUACCCCUGACUGUAAGUGGUGGGAGAGGGAGGGGGGUUAAUGGAACUGGGUCUGGGAUUAUUUUAAAAUUAUAUAUAUAUAUAUAUAAAGAUAUAUUCUUACAUCUUUUCUUUGCCCUCUGUGCUUUGAAAGCACUGGAUAAAUCGUUUGGUUUUGCUUUUCUCUCUUCCACAAAAUUGGAAGCUUUUUUAUUUUUUUUUCCCCUUCAUGUUUUUCCUACAAGUCAUUUUGCCUUGUGGCAUGUCUGUCUAGCCUCCCCCACCCCAUGAUGAAGUGCCAUUUCUGUUAUGUCUCCCUGACCCCCAGCUCAGAGGUGCUCAGAGGUACAAGGUGCCCAAGUUUGUCAGUUGAGAUUAAAAGUUAGGAACAGAGAAUGUGCAAUACCUUCUGGCUGGGGGCUGUCCCUGCCCUGAGCUGAGUCCCUGCCCUGGGAGCCAGGCCACCUUAAAUGGGAUUUGGAAGUAAGAUGUGUAGAGAUGGGGAGUGGUGGGGAAGGAAAGCCCAUAGUCCCGUGUCUGCUUAGGUGCUGAGACCAUAGGGGAGAGGGUAGAAUCUUUCCUGUUUUAAUCCCCUCUGGGUCGAUUACAUAGACGCUGCUUAUUAACUAGUAUAGCUCUGUGACCCUUUGUUCAAUUGCUGAGGUUUGAUUUCUUACCCUCUCCACCCCAUCUUCAUACCCUUCCCAAGGAUUAGUGAUGGGGCAAGUUCUCCUUAAUCAUGGUAAAGCAUUAGCCUCCACUCCCCACCUUCCUUCUCCCCAUCUUCUGUCUUCCUCAAGUCUCUGCUUUUUCAUCUGAUUGUCUCGUUCCCUCCAAGUCUAGUGUUGCUAUCAUCCCUAGGCUUUGUAGACACUAAUCCUGUGCCCUGAGGAUGGGAGGAAAGACCUUGUGUUCACAGAGUUGUCCUUUACCCUGGACCUUUGAGUUUCCAGGUAUUAUUAGAGUGAGGGUCCCACAAGUUGUGCCUGGCUUCCUCCAGACCCAGUGGCACUAAAAGCACUCAUUCAUGGAUGGUGUCUUAACUCCCUAGAAGCCUGAGACAGGUGGAUUAGUGGUGAGACUUGGGUAAAACUGGGAGACAGAGGUCCUUAUUUGUCAGUUUUAUUUUGUCACUUGACCACAGCAUCUGGACUCCCUCCAUCUCUGGAAUAAGUAUUUCCCCCACAUUUUUGGAUUUAUGUAUGGUAGACAUUUUUUUUUUUUUUUUAAAGACACAGAUAAAUGUUUUCCUGCUUUGGUUACCUUUCCUUUUCCCUUUGAAAGGAAUUAGCUGUAGAACUGCUUUGUAAAGAUGCUUCUUGAUAUUUUACUUUUGUUCCUUUUCCCCAACCAUUCCCUUUUCUCCCCAUUUCUCCCGAAGGCAUAACCCUUCUCUCCACACACCCUACCCCAUCCCAGUCCCAGGCUCCCUUCCCUCUCAUCAAGAUCUUCAUUAGCUUAUGAUAUUUGCUGCCGAGAUGUUAUAACAAGGACUCAUUCGUGUAUAUAAGCUAUUUCUUGAUCCAUUUAAAAGGAAUUGUACAUUGUGUAGAAAAAAAAAAAGCCCUAGCCAUGGAUAUUGUGAAACUGUGUUAUGUCAUUUUGUAAUGUGCCCGUUUGUGUAUGAUCCGUGCAAAAGGGUUUCUGGGGAAGGGGAGGGGGUAGGGAGGCAGGGCUGUGGAGGGUGGGUAGGGGAGUGGGCCGGGCCCAGCACACUGAGACUGGCAGCUGCUCCAACCCCAUCCCUCCUUAGAGAUGCCACCUCCCCCACCACCCACCCCUAAUUUGUGCCUUGCCUCCCCACCCUGGAGUAGUCCCUCCGGGUCACCAGCACUGCCUUGGCAGAGCCCACUCCCUACCCUAACCUGCCCACCCUCCCUGCCCCCCAGCAUUAGGUUGAUACUGUGGGGAAGUGCUGGGGUUUGGGAGGCAGCCGAGGAAUGGGGCAGUUCCCCGGGGGCAUCGAAACCAAGUAUUAUUAUGAAUUGUAAUUGUAUUUGCACUGUUUUUUUUCCCUCUGAUUGCAUCAGCAUAUAUACAAUAUACCUAUAUAACAAAAUUCAGUGUCAAGCUUUCUUAUGCAAGGGAUUUCCCCCAUCUCACCCCCCCCCCCCCCACAAAAAGAAAGAACCUAGUCUAAUGGACCUUUGAAGAUGAAUUGUCAGGGGAUGGUAGGAAGAAAGGACCCCCUUAGGAGGUCUCAGCUUUUGAGAGCCACAGCUAUCUGCACAGUUUUAGACUAUGAAUUGAGGUGAGGUUGGGUUCCUGUGAAUGCUGGAACGAUUUGUCCAGGACUGUGGAGAAUAUUAAAUAAAGAUAAACACCAGUACAAAGAGUGACAUGGCCUGGAGACCUAGGGUCUCCUAACUUGGCUGUGUGCUCUUUGGUAGUGUUAUUUUUGUGGGUCUCAGGUUUUUUUGUUUGUUUGUUUGUUUUAAUCUGUGAAGGAUGAAAUCAUCUGGCCACCAGUGUUGAGGUUCUGAGCUUCCUUCCCUCCUGCCAAAAACAGAAAUCAGCUUGAGGUGAAGGAAGUGUUGGGCUAAGACAAUAGGGAGGAAAUGAAAGCGACUAAUGUUGAAGUAGUUACAUAUGUGACAAUGCCCUUGGAGAGCUGGCAGUCAGUCCCUUGCUUUAAGUUUUUUUGUAAGAGGUGGCAGAGUGAUGUUCAGGAGGGCAGUUAGACCAGUGAUAUCUUUGCCCUCGUGUUUCUAAUUGAGAGCAGGGAUCAGGCCCCAAGCCCAUCUCAACCAACUACAAAGCCCUUAAGGAUGGUUGACCUUGGAUGCCCAGUGUUUGGUCUAGUUACUUCCUUUGUGAGCUACAGGAUAUUGAACUUCCCCUGUCGUCUUGGUGACAAAAUGCAAGAGCCCACAUCUUUCCUUCCCUCAGUUCCAGUCUGAACCCCUAAAGGCAGCUUUUUCACAGUCUGUCGUCUUCAGGGGCUCAGUUUCCCUUAGCCUGGGCUGAGUACGCCCACUCUCUAACUUCCUGGCUGGUAAAGCCUGGAGAGGUACAGGAUGAUGGGUGAGGCCUUGGUGAAGGUGGAAGGAUGGAUUGGGGUUUGGGGUGGGG
rnacentral:lncRNA from 1 species